rnacentral:tRNA from 1 species
GCCAAGGUGGCGGAGCGGUCAAACGCAAUGGUCUGUAAAACCAUCGCCCGAAAGGGCUACCCAAGUUCGAAUCUUGGCCUUGGCACUA